AUUGAACGCUGGCGGAAUGCCUUACACAUGCAAGUCGAACGGCUGCACGGACUUCGGUCUGGUGGCGAGUGGCGAACGGGUGAGUAACAUAUCGGAACGUAUCCAAUAAUGGGGGAUAACUAAUCGAAAGGUUGGCUAAUACCGCAUACGCCCUACGGGGGAAAGCAGGGGAUCUUCGGACCUUGCGUUAAUGGAGCGGCUGAUAUCUGAUUAGCUAGUUGGUGAGGUAAAGGCUCACCAAGGCGACGAUCAGUAGCUGGUCUGAGGGGACGACCAGCCACACUGGAACUGAGACACGGUCCAGACUCCUACGGGAGGCAGCAGUGGGGAAUUUUGGACAAUGGGCGCAAGCCUGAUCCAGCCAUUCCGCGUGAGUGAAGAAGGCCUUCGGGUUGUAAAGCUCUUUCGCAAGGGAAGAAAACUUACUUUCUAAUAAAGAGUGAGGUUGACGGUACCUUGAUAAGAAGCACCGGCUAACUACGUGCCAGCAGCCGCAGUAA
rnacentral:rRNA from 1 species